CCUACGGGUGGCUGCAGUGGGGAAUAUUGGACAAUGGGCGAAAGCCUGAUCCAGCCAUGCCGCGUGUGUGAAGAAGGCCUUCGGGUUGUAAAGCACUUUCAGUGGGGAAGAAAGCCUUGGGGCUAAUACCCUCGAGGAAGGACAUCACCCACAGAAGAAGCACCGGCUAACUCCGUGCCAGCAGCCGCGGUAAUACGGAGGGUGCGAGCGUUAAUCGGAAUUACUGGGCGUAAAGCGUGCGUAGGCGGUCUGAUAAGCCGGUUGUGAAAGCCCCGGGCUCAACCUGGGAACGGCAUCCGGAACUGUCAGGCUAGAGUGCAGGAGAGGAAGGUAGAAUUCCCGGUGUAGCGGUGAAAUGCGUAGAGAUCGGGAGGAAUACCAGUGGCGAAGGCGGCCUUCUGGACUGACACUGACGCUGAGGUGCGAAAGCGUGGGUAGCAAACAGGAUUAGAUACCCGUGUAGUC
rnacentral:rRNA from 1 species